GUCGAGCGCCCCGCAAGGGGAGCGGCAGACGGGUGAGUAACGCGUGGGAACGUACCAUUUGCUACGGAAUAACUCAGGGAAACUUGUGCUAAUACCGUAUGAGCCCGAAAGGGGAAAGAUUUAUCGGCAAAUGAUCGGCCCGCGUUGGAUUAGCUAGUUGGUGGGGUAAAGGCCUACCAAGGCGACGAUCCAUAGCUGGUCUGAGAGGAUGAUCAGCCACACUGGGACUGAGACACGGCCCAGACUCCUACGGGAGGCAGCAGUGGGGAAUAUUGGACAAUGGGCGCAAGCCUGAUCCAGCCAUGCCGCGUGAGUGAUGAAGGCCCUAGGGUUGUAAAGCUCUUUCACCGGUGAAGAUAAUGACGGUAACCGGAGAAGAAGCCCCGGCUAACUUCGUGCCAGCAGCCGCGGUAAUACGAAGGGGGCUAGCGUUGUUCGGAUUUACUGGGCGUAAAGCGCACGUAGGCGGGCUAAUAAGUCAGGGGUGAAAUCCCGGGGCUCAACCCCGG
rnacentral:rRNA from 1 species